rnacentral:rRNA from 1 species
GAUGAACGCUGGCGGCGUGCCUAAUACAUGCAAGUCGAGCGAACAGACGAGGAGUUUGCUCCUCUGACGUUAGCGGCGGACGGGUGAGUCACACGUGGAUAAACUACCUAUAAGACUGGGAUACCUUCGGGAAACCGGAGCUAAUACCGGAUAAUAUAUUGAAUCGCAUGGUUCCAUAGUGAAAGACGGUUUUGCUGUCACUUAUAGAUGGAUCAGCGCCGCAUUAGCUAGUUGGUAAGGUAACUGCUUACCAAGGCACCGAUGCGUAGCCGACCUGAGAGGGUGAUCGGCCACACUGGAACUGAGACUCGGUCCAGACUCCGACGGGAGGCAGCAGUAGGGAAUCUUCCGCAAGGGGCGAAAGCCUGACGGAGCAACGUCGCGUGAGUGAUGAAGGUCUUCGGAUCGUAAAACUCUGUUAGUAGGAAAGAACAAAUGUGUAAGUAACUAUGCACGUCUUGACGGUACCUAAUCAGAAAGCCACGGCUAACUACGUG